rnacentral:rRNA from 1 species
UACGGGGGGGGGUUAGUGUUAUUCAUCGUUACUGGGUGUAAAGGGCGUGUAGGUGGUUCAUUAAGUUCUAAUUAGAACAAUCCAGGCCUAACUUGGAAACUAAUUUUUAUACUAAUAACUAGAGGUUAGAGGAAGGAAGCUAUACUUCUCAGAAAAAGGUGAAAUUUGUCCGAACUGGGGGGGAUAACCAGCAGGCGAAAGCGGCUUCCUAUUAUAAUUCUGACACUUAGGCGCAAAAGCUUGGGGAUCAAACGGG